UACGAAGGGGGCUAGCGUUGUUCGGAUUUACUGGGCGUAAAGCGUGCGCAGGCGGCUUUCCAAGCGCCACGUGAAAGCCCGGGGCUCAACCCCGGGAGGCGGGUGGAUACUGCUCAGCUCGAGUCCGGAAGAGGAGUGUGGAAUUCCUGGUGUAGCGGUGAAAUGCGCAGAUAUCAGGAGGAACACCAAUGGCGAAGGCAGCACUCUGGGACGGUACUGACGCUGAGACGCGAAAGCGUGGGGAGCAAACAGG
rnacentral:rRNA from 1 species